rnacentral:rRNA from 1 species
UUGGAGGGCAAGUCUGGUGCCAGCAGCCGCGGUAAUUCCAGCUCCAAUAGCGUAUAUUAAAGUUGUUGCAGUUAAAAAGCUCGUAGUUGAAUUUCGGGAUCAAUUUAUUGGUCGUGCCAACGGUACGCACUGGUACAAUUGGUUUCUCCCUUCUGACGAAGCAUGAUGUCAUUAAUUUGAUGUCGUGGGGAAUCAGGACUGUUACUUUGAAAAAAUUAGAGUGUUUAAAGCAGGCUUUGGCUUGAAUACAUUAGCAUGGAAUAAUGAAAUAGGACGUUUGAUCUUAUUUCGUUGGUUUCUAAGAUCGACGUAAUGAUUAAUAGGGAUAGUUGGGGGCAUUAGCAUUCAAUUGUCAGAGGUGAAAUUCUUGGAUUUAUUGAAGACUAACUACUGCGAAAGCAUUUGCCAAGGAUGUUUUCAUUAAUCAAGAACGAAAGUUAGGGGAUCGAAGACGAUCAGAUACCGUCGUAGUCUUAACCAUAAACUAUGCCGACUAGGGAUCGGAUGAUGUUAAUUUUUUAAUGACUCAUUCGGCGCCUUACGGGAAAC